UACGUAGGGGGCAAGCGUUGUCCGGAUUUAUUGGGCGUAAAGAGCGUGUAGGCGGCCAGAUAGGUCCGUUGUGAAACCUGGAGGCUUAACCUCCAGCGGACGAUGGAAACCAUUUGGCUAGAGUCCGGAAGAGGAGAGUGGAAUUCCUGGUGUAGCGGUGAAAUGCGCAGAUAUCAGGAAGAACACCCGUGGCGAAGGCGGCUCUCUGGGACGGUACUGACGCUGAGACGCGAAAGCGUGGGGAGCGAACAGG
rnacentral:rRNA from 1 species